GAUUACUCAGAAACAGCAUCUGACUUUUAAUCAGAGGAUCCCAGGUUCGAGCCCUGGCGGGAUCA
rnacentral:tRNA from 1 species